rnacentral:misc_RNA from 1 species
AAAUUCACCAAAUUUUAACACAAAAGUCUCAACAUCACAAAGAUCAUAUCUACCAAAUUUCAUAAUUUUUUGAUCAUUCUAAUUAUUUAAUUCCCUCAAAUUUCUGCAACCUAAAAUCCAAAAUUCAAAUCCUAAUAGCCUAAGUUUAAAAUUUUAUUUCUCCAAAUCCAAUUGUUGAAAAGCUACCAAAUUUUAACCAUGACUUUUAGGCAUAUAUAACUUAAACAUAUUCAAAAAUCAGUGUUGAAAAUUCUACCAAACUCACCCGAACUAGCAAAACAUCUACUACCCCUACUCUUGCUCCACUUUCCUUCUCUCUCUCUCUCCUUUUUCCCUCUUUCUCUCUCCUCUUUCCAUAUUCCAGCAUCCUCCCUUACCGGAAAGACACAAAUUUUUGGCCAUCUUCUUUCCUCCUUCUCUUC